CCCAGCUAUGGAGACAUGGUGCCCAGCACCAUUGCUGGCAAGAUUUUUGGAUCCAUCUGCUCCCUCAGUGGUGUCCUGGUCAUUGCACUGCCUGUGCCAGUCAUCGUGUCCAAC
rfam:Canis lupus familiaris chromosome X, whole genome shotgun sequence.